GGGCGCAUAGCUCAGUUGGUUCAGAGCGCAGCCCUGAUAAGGCUGAGGUCCAUGGUUCGAAUCCAUGUGCGCCCA
rnacentral:tRNA from 1 species